rnacentral:rRNA from 1 species
AGGGUUUGAUUAUGGCUCAGGACGAACGCUGGCGGCGUGCCUAAUACAUGCAAGUAGGACGCACAGUUUAUACCGUAGCUUGCUACACCAUAGACUGUGAGUUGCGAACGGGUGAGUAACGCGUAGGUAACCUACCUAUUAGAGGGGGAUAACUAUUGGAAACGAUAGCUAAUACCGCAUAACAGUAUGUAACACAUGUUAGAUGCUUGAAAGAUGCAAUUGCAUCGCUAGUAGAUGGACCUGCGUUGUAUUAGCUAGUAGGUAGGGUAAUGGCCUACCUAGGCAACGAUACAUAGCCGACCUGAGAGGGUGAUCGGCCACACUGGGACUGAGACACGGCCCAG